GGAGCCCAAUGGGUGCAAGCUAAUUUCAGAGGGUACAGUGUAACAAUCAGGGCACUAGGGUCAUCUGUAGAUGAGCCAAGAAGAAUUUUCGUUCAACCUUCAUCGCCUUCUUCUUUGACCAUCACAUACCAAUUUCGCCGCUCAUUUCACUUCAUGAACAACACUCAUCUCCUCCGCCUCUGUUUCAAUACCGAUUUGACGCCUCUCUGUUCGUCUCUUUCUUUUCUCUUUGUCCCAACCUUCCUUCUCCACCGCACAGUCGCCAUGACCUCUGUCUCAUCUCUUGCUCACGACGGCGGCUCAAACUUCUUCACCCACGCCUUCCAAUCACUCAGCGGAGCCGAUUGA